GGGCUUGUCUAGGUAUAGCAAUUAUACCGUGAAACUGCGAAUGGCUCAUUAAAUCAGUUAUCGUUUAUUUGAUAGUACCUUACUACUUGGAUACCCGUGGUAAUUCUAGAGCUAAUACAUGCUAAAAACCCCGACUUCGGGAGGGGUGUGUUUAUUAGAUAAAAAACCAACGCCCUUCGGGGCUCCUUGGUGAUUCAUGAUAACCUCUCAGAUCGCACGGCCUUGCGCCGGCGACGGUUCAUUCAAAUUUCUGCCCUAUCAACUUUCGAUGGUAAGGUAUUGGCUUACCAUGGUUUCAACGGGUAACGGGGAAUUAGGGUUCGAUUCCGGAGAGUGAGCCUGAGAAACGGCUCACACAUCCAAGGAAGGCAGCAGGCGCGCAAAUUACCCAAUCCCGACACGGGGAGGUAGUGACAAUAAAUACUGAUACAGGGCUCUUUUGGGUCUUGUAAUUGGAAUGAGUACAAUUUAAACCUCUUAACGAGGAACAAUUGGAGGGCAAGUCUGGUGCCAGCAGCCGCGGUAAUUCCAGCUCCAAUAGCGUAUAUUAAAGUUGUUGCAGUUAAAAAGCUCGUAGUUGAAUCUUUGGCCUGGCUGGCGGGUCCGCCUCACCGCGUGCACUUGUCCGGCCGGGCCUUCUCUUCUGGAGAACCGCAUGCCCUUCACUGGGCGUGUUGGGGACCAGGACUUUUACUUUGAAAAAAUUAGAGUGUUCAAAGCAGGCCUUUGCUCGAAUACGUUAGCAUGGAAUAAUAGAAUAGGACGUGCGGUCCUAUUUUGUUGGUUUCUAGGACCGCCGUAAUGAUUAAUAGGGACAGUCGGGGGCAUCAGUAUUCAAUUGUCAGAGGUGAAAUUCUUGGAUUUAUUGAAGACUAACUACUGCGAAAGCAUUUGCCAAGGAUGUUUUCAUUAAUCAGUGAACGAAAGUUAGGGGAUCGAAGACGAUCAGAUACCGUCGUAGUCUUAACCAUAAACUAUGCCGACUAGGGAUCGGGCGGUGUUAUCGAUUUGACCCGCUCGGCACCUUGCGAGAAAUCAAAGUGUUUGGGUCUGGGGGGAGUAGUC
rnacentral:rRNA from 1 species